rnacentral:rRNA from 1 species
CCUACGGGCGGCAGCAGUGGGGGAUAUUGCACAAUGGGGGAAACCCUGAUGCAGCGACGCCGCGUGAGUGAAGAAGUAUUUCGGUAUGUAAAGCUCUAUCAGCAGGGAAGAAAAUGACGGUACCUGAUUAAGAAGCCCCGGCUAACUACGUGCCAGCAGCCGCGGUAAUACGUAGGGGGCAAGCGUUAUCCGGAUUUACUGGGUGUAAAGGGAGCGUAGACGGCAGCACAAGUCUGGAGUGAAAGCCCGGGGCCCAACCCCGGGACUGCUUUGGAAACUGCCAUGCUAGAGUGCUGGAGAGGUAAGCGGAAUUCCUAGUGUAGCGGUGAAAUGCGUAGAUAUUAGGAGGAACACCAGUGGCGAAGGCGGCUUACUGGACAGUAACUGACGUUGAGGCUCGAAAGCGUGGGGAGCAAACAGGAUUAGAUACCCCAGUAGUC